UUUUAAGUAAAAUUGGUGGAAUUUUAUGAUGUUGAAUAUGUUAUUCUCGAUGUUACAGAUGUUAUUCUCCCAUGUUGCAUCUGACUGAAAAUAUGAAGUACUAUACAACAUUCAAGAACAAUACAUUGAAACAUAGUAAAUAGGAUCUGUAACAUUAGGAGAAUCUACCAUAUUUCCUCCCCUGAAAUGACGAAAUAUUUUGAAAUAUCGAAGAAUAGUGUUUGCAACAUCAAAAAUUCGAUAGAUUUUCUUCUAAAAAUCUGUCAACAGAUAAAUAGCAAAACUCUUAAUUUAAAGGACCCUAACUAACAUGGUGAUCAAAC
rnacentral:lncRNA from 1 species